rnacentral:rRNA from 1 species
AUUGAACGCUGGCGGCAUGCCUUACACAUGCAAGUCGAACGACAGCGGGGACUUCGGUCCGCCGGCGAGUGGUGAACGGGUGAGUAAUGUAUCGGAACGUACCAUUCAGUGGGGGAUAACUAUCCGAAAGGAUAGCUAAUACCGCAUAUUCUGUGAGCAGGAAAGCAGGGGAUCGCAAGACCUUGCGCUGAUUGAGCGGCCGAUAUCAGAUUAGCUAGUUGGUGAGGUAACGGCUCACCAAGGCUACGAUCUGUAGCGGGUCUGAGAGGAUGAUCCGCCACACUGGGGCUGAGACACGGCCCAGACUCCUACGGGAGGCAGCAGUGGGGAAUUUUGGACAAUGGGCGCAAGCCUGAUCCAGCCAUGCCGCGUGAGUGAAGAAGGCCUUCGGGUUGUAAAGCUCUUUCGGCCGGGAAGAAAUCGCAUCAGCUAAUACCUGGUGUGGAUGACGGUACCGGAAUAAGAAGCACCGGCUAACUACGUGCCAGCCGCCGCAGUAACAC